rnacentral:rRNA from 1 species
AAGACGACAAGGUAGAUAAGUUGGGGGUGGAAGUGCAGUAAUGCAUGGAGCUGACCAAUACUAAUCGGUCGAGGGCUUAUCCUA